rnacentral:rRNA from 1 species
UACGUAGGGACCAAGCGUUGUCCGGAAUUAUUGGGCGUAAAGAGCUCGUAGGCGGUCCGUCGCGUCGAAUGUGAAAACCCGGGGCUCAACCCCGGGCUUGCAUUCGAUACGGGCGGACUAGAGUUCGGUAGGGGAGACUGGAAUUCCUGGUGUAGCGGUGAAAUGCGCAGAUAUCAGGAGGAACACCGGUGGCGAAGGCGGGUCUCUGGGCCGAUACUGACGCUGAGGAGCGAAAGCGUGGGGAGCAAACAGG